CAGGCUCAGCAGGAAGCAGGGGGUGAGAGAGCCCAGGUUUAAAAAAAUAGAUUUUGGUUCAGCAUUAACCUCACCUAGGAAGAAACCAGUGAAGAGCCACAAAGGAAAUCCUGGUGCUUCAGCCAAAUCCGCUCUAGAGUCAAGGAAUUCUCACUCUGACCUCCCCAGGGGAUCUGAAACUUAACAAUGAAAGAAGGGGAAUGGCUGGGGCCUGCUGUGCCCGUUUCCAGCCUCUACUUGUGAACAUUCUGUGUGGAUAUAAGAAACGUCAAAGCCUCGAUGUGAUACCAGAGGAUGGAGCCUGCGCACAGUCAGCAGUCUGGAGUGUACAUCAUAAAUCCAGAACUGGGCAGGCACUGUGUCAGCUGAUUGUGAAGAGCAGCUGCGUUGCACACCCUGCUCCGGGGUAGAUGGGGACUUGUCCGAGGAGUGAUCUGAGCCCUUCUCCACCAUGGUGUCUCCGUCUUGGUUCUGUGGCGUUGGCGAACGGGACCGCUUCCGGAGGAUGGGGGAGCAGGCCGGCGUGCUGCGGUUGGAGUUACUGGCAGUGCUGCGGGGGCAAAGAGAGACAGGGAAUGAGGUGAGAGGGUGGAGGAAGGAAGAAAAGCUGACAGUGAUGGCAGGCCAGAGACCCAUGCAAAGGACCCGGGCGACGGGCUGAGAAAAUCAAGAGGAGCCAAAUAGGGACUCGCUGUAUUGUAAUGUUGCUACUGGCCAGCAGGGGGCAGUAAUGCCAGUGUAAAAAAGUCUAGAAACCAGCAGGUAGGUAUUAAAAUAUUGACCCACCCAUCCUGCAAUCUCCCCGUCCAAAACAGUUUGAGCUUUUACUACUUAUGAUAGGCAGAAAGCUAUUAGGAAAAAUAAUUUAAGCCCUGAAAGAAUCAUUGGUGUUCACUCAAUAUCACCAGCUCAUUUUACAAACACUGUGUGUCGACCCUUUUGUUCAUAAUGUCACGUUUCAAAGCAUUCACAUAUAUAUUAUUUCAUAGACAUGUCUUUUUAAAACCAUUACGUUAUUUUCUUUUGCAUGUGUGUGAGUGUGUGUGUGCCGCGCGCGCGUGAGCACACGCGGAGAUGUGCCACAGCACACCUGCGGAGGUCAGAGAGCAACCUGCUGGAAUCUGUCCCCCUCCGAGAACAAUGUGGAUCCCGGGGAAUGAACGCAGGCCACUGAUUGGCAGUGAGCACUUACUUUUAUCUACCGAGCCUUCUCACCGGCCCACAUACCAUGUGUCUAAAGACAUUCAAACAAGCUAAUAAUGGCGAGUGCCACUAUCCUUAAGUUUAAAAAAUGAAGACAAACGUCUGGCAGACAGAAGUAAGUAAUCAAAGCAGAGACUCGGAGUUUGCUUCAGAUGGAGCCAUGCAUCUGGUAUUCGAUGGCGUUAUGCUGCUGUCCCAGUGGGGCACGGUCUUAUCCUCGAGCCCCCACCCCACAUUCAUCUCUGAAAAGGUUCUUGCACUUCUCAUGGCACCAAACCCAGUCAUACCUCAGCAGACCGUCUGCUAAUACAAGAAUUGAACCUGGGCUUGUGUUUUCAAGAGAACAGAAGAGAUAAAGAAGAAAACCUUGAA